CAGCAGCCGCCACGGUAAUACGAAGGGUGCAAGCGUUACUCGGAAUUACUGGGCGUAAAGCGUGCGUAGGUGGUGGUUUAAGUCCGUUGUGAAAGCCCUGGGCUCAACCUGGGAAUUGCAGUGGAUACUGGGUCACUAGAGUGUGGUAGAGGAUAGUGGAAUUUCCGGUGUAGCAGUGAAAUGCGUAGAGAUCGGAAGGAACAUCUGUGGCGAAGGCGACUAUCUGGGCCAACACUGAUACUGAGACACGAAAGCGUGGGGAGCAAACAGGAUUAGAUACCCGUGUAGUCCCUGUCUCUUAUAC
rnacentral:rRNA from 1 species